rnacentral:rRNA from 1 species
CACGUAGGGACCAAGCGUUGUCCGGAUUCAUUGGGCGUAAAGAGCUCGUAGGCGGCGCGGUAAGUCGGGUGUGAAAUCUCGGGGCUUAACUCCGAAACUGCAUUCGAUACUGCCGUGCUUGAGGACUGGAGAGGAGACUGGAAUUUACGGUGUAGCGGUGAAAUGCGUAGAUAUCGGGAGGAACACCAGUGGCGAAGGCGACUUCUUGGCCUGUUCUUGACGCUGAGGCGCGAAAGCUGGGGGAGCAACAGG